AUUCAGUUAGUAAAUACCCGCCCACGCACCUUCCAAGGCACGGCGAGCAGCAGCAAAUCCAGAUGGUGCAAAGGAGCCUGAUGAGAAGAAUGACCUGGUUCAAAGUGCAGAUGUUGGAGGACAUAUCCUGCGUGUCUGUAAAACUGCAGAUGAAGCAGAUAUUUGCCAUUACUGCCCACUAUUGAAGUACCAGCCUUUCUUCUUCACUAACCACACGCUGCAAACAACAAUGACCCAUCAUCUUCUGCUCUUCUAACAGAUACUCAGGGAAAAUGAAGCUGGAAGGCUUAUACCCAAGACUGCCACAAGGAACGUAGAGCAACACAAAGCCAUUUUAAAGAAGUUUCCUUUGGGAUAGAACAUCAGAAAAAUGAUCUGCAAACCUGUUAAAAUGUAUAUAGUUUAAAGACUGGAAGACAAGUCUUUCUCUGAUUAUUUCAGUGGAGCCAUAUUGACACUAGGUCUGGUCACAGGAAUUAUGUGCUUUAAGGUGUGUAGAAGCUUCUUAUGAGAGAUGCCAAAAUAUGCUUCUU